AAUGAACGCUGGCGGCGUGCUUAACACAUGCAAGUCGAGCGCGAACGUGACUUCGGUCACUAGUAGAGCGGCGAACGGGUGAGUAACACGUGGACAACCUGCCCGAGCUGGGGGACAACCUGAGGAAACUUAGGCUAAUACCGCAUACGUUCGAUUGGCUCCGGCCGAUCGAAGAAAGACCGCCUCUCCUUGGAAGCGGUCGCGCACGGAUGGGUCCGCGGCUGAUUAGCUAGUUGGUGAGGUAAUGGCUCACCAAGGCGACGAUCAGUAGCCGGCCUGAGAGGGCGAUCGGCCACACUGGGACUGAGACACGGCCCAG
rnacentral:rRNA from 1 species